rnacentral:rRNA from 1 species
GAGUUUGAUCCUGGCUCAGAACGAACGCUGGCGGCGCGUUUUAACAUGCAAGUCGAACGGCAAGGGUAGCAAUACCCCUAGAGUGGCGAACGGGUGAGUAACAGUAGGUGAUCUGCCUCGAACAUGGGGAUAACCUUUGGAAACAAAGGAUAAUACCGAAUAGAUCUGUUGACUAUGGUUGAUAGAUGAAAGGCGCUAAGGCGCCGGUUUGAGAUGAGCCUCGGCUGAUUAGCUAGUUGGUGGGGUAAAGGCCUACCAAGGCGACGAUCAGUAUCCGGCCGAGAGGGUGACCGGACACACUGGGACUGAGACACGGCCCAGACUCCUACGGGAGGCAGCGCUAAGAAUCUUCCGCAAUGGACGAAAGUCUGACGGAGCGACGCCGCGUGAACGACGAAGUCGAGAGAUUGUAAAGUUCUUUUAUGGAUGAGGAAUAAGCUUAGGAGGGAAUGCCUGAUGAUGACGUUAGUCCAUGAAUAAGCCCCGGCUAAUUACGUGCCAGCAGCCGCGGUAAU